CCGACUGGAUCCAAAGUGGCAUCCCCCAAGGAGAAGCAAAACCAUCAGGUCAGGACUGAACUCAAAUUAACAGCGGCUCAGACGAAUGACCGCAUGGACAGAAGGG
rnacentral:ribozyme from 1 species